rnacentral:snoRNA from 1 species
GUACGUAUUUCUCCUGCUUCCGUCUUGAUACACUCUCCAUCCCAAUGAUGAACUUUGUUGUCGCCCCUAUCAUACAAUUCUGUGGUGAUUUACCUGUCCUAGCCAAACGGACUCCUGAGCCAAAACAAACACCUUCCACCUACCAGCCCUUGACCGAUCGUUGAAGGGACUCCAUGGCUAACUUGGUUCAAAAGCUCCUAGA